UACAGAGGUCCCAAGCGUUGUUCGGAUUCACUGGGCGUAAAGGGUGCGUAGGUGGUGGGGUAAGUCGGAUGUGAAAGCUCGGAGCUCAACUCCGAAAUGGCAUUGGAAACUACCCUGCUAGAGGAUUGGAGGGGGGACUGGAAUACUUGGUGUAGCAGUGAAAUGCGUAGAUAUCAGGAGGAACACCAGUGGCGAAGGCGGCUCACUGGCCCGGUACUGACGCUGAGGUGCGAAAGCGUGGGGAGCAAACAGG
rnacentral:rRNA from 1 species